UACGUAGGCAGCGAGCGUUGUUCGGAGUUACUGGGCGUAAAGCGUGCGUAGGCGGUGGUCCAAGUCUGGUGUGAAAUCUCCCGGCUCAACUGGGAGGGUGCGCCGGAAACUGGGCCGCUGGAGUACGGGAGAGGCAAGCGGAAUUCCAGGUGUAGCGGUGAAAUGCGUAGAUAUCAGGAAGAACACCCGUGGCGAAGGCGGCUCUCUGGGACGGUACUGACGCUGAGACGCGAAAGCGUGGGGAGCGAACAGG
rnacentral:rRNA from 1 species